rnacentral:rRNA from 1 species
UACGUAGGGUGCAAGCGUUGUCCGGAAUUAUUGGGCGUAAAGAGCUCGUAGGCGGUUCGUUGCGUCGGCUGUGAAAUCCCGAGGCUCAACCUCGGGUCUGCAGUCGAUACGGGCGGACUGGAGUUCGGCAGGGGAGACUGGAAUUCCUGGUGUAGCGGUGAAAUGCGCAGAUAUCAGGAGGAACACCAGCGGCGAAGGCGGCGCUCUGGGCCGGAACUGACGCUGAGGAGCGAAAGCGUGGGGAGCAAACAGG